CGGAGGGUGCGAGCGUUAAUCGGAAUUACUGGGCGUAAAGCGCACGCAGGCGGUUUGUUAAGCUAGAUGUGAAAGCCCCGGGCUCAACCUGGGACGGUCAUUUAGAACUGGCAGACUAGAGUCUUGGAGAGGGGAGUGGAAUUCCAGGUGUAGCGGUGAAAUGCGUAGAUAUCUGGAGGAACAUCAGUGGCGAAGGCGACUCCCUGGCCAAAGACUGACGCUCAUGUGCGAAAGUGUGGGUAGCGAACAGGAUUAGAUACCCUGGUAGUGCAUACCGUCAAAGAUGAA
rnacentral:rRNA from 1 species